rnacentral:rRNA from 1 species
AAUCUUCCGCAAUGGACGAAAGUCUGACGGAGCAACGCCGCGUGAGUGAUGAAGGUUUUCGGAUCGUAAAACUCUGUUGUUAGGGAAGAACAAGUACCGUUCGAAUAGGGCGGUACCUUGACGGUACCUAACCAGAAAGCCACGGCUAACUACGUGCCAGCAGCCGCGGUAAUACGUAGGUGGCAAGCGUUGUCCGGAAUUAUUGGGCGUAAAGCGCGCGCAGGCGGUUUCUUAAGUCUGAUGUGAAAGCCCCCGGCUCAACCGGGGAGGGUCAUUGGAAACUGGGGAACUUGAGUGCAGAAGAGGAGAGUGGAAUUCCACGUGUAGCGGUGAAAUGCGUAGAGAUGUGGAGGAACACCAGUGGCGAAGGCGACUCUCUGGUCUGUAACUGACGCUGAGGCGCGAAAGCGUGGGGAGCGAACAGGAUUAGAUACCCUGGUAGUCCACGCCGUAAACGAUGAGUGCUAAGUGUUAGAGGGUUUGCGCCCUUUAGUGCUGC